GACGAACGCUGGCGGGGUGUUCAACCCUGGGAAGCUGAACGGAAAGCCCCCGUUUUUGUGGGAUCUCCAGGUGCCGAACGGGGAAGCAACACAGGGGCAACUCCCCUUGGAGUUUGGGUUAACUUACGGAAACGGGGGCUAAUACCGGACAGGGGCUCCGCCUCCAGGGUGGGGGUGGGAAAGUUUCGGCGGUUGGGGAUGGACUCCCGGCUUAUCAGCUUGUUGGUGGGGUGGUGGCUUACCAAGGCUUUGACGGGUAGCCGGCCUGAGAGGGUGACCGGCCACAUUGGGACUGAGAUACGGCCCAGACUCCUACGGGAGGCAGCAGUGGGGAAUAUUGCACAAUGGGCGGAAGCCUGAUGCAGCAACGCCGCGUGCGGGAUGACGGCCUUCGGGUUGUAAACCGCUUUCGCCUGUGACGAAGCGUGAGUGACGGUAAUGGGUAAAGAAGCACCGGCUAACUACGUG
rnacentral:rRNA from 1 species